AGAGUUUGAUCUUGGCUCAGGAUGAACGCUAGCGGCAGGCUUAACACAUGCAAGUCGAGGGGCAUCACGGGUAGCAAUACCUGGUGGCGACCGGCGCAAGGGUGCGUAACGCGUGAGCAACAUGCCCGUAUCAGGGGGAUAAGCCAGGGAAACUUGGUCUAAUACCGCGUAGUAAUAUAUAAUGGCAUCAUUAUAUAUUUAAAAUUUCGAUGGAUACGGAUUGGCUCGCGUGACAUUAGCUGGAUGGUGAGGUAACGGCUCACCAUGGCGACGAUGUCUAGGGGUUCUGAGAGGAAGGUCCCCCACACUGGUACUGAGACACGGACCAGACUCCUACGGGAGGCAGCAGUGAGGAAUAUUGGACAAUGGAUGGAAAUCUGAUCCAGCCAUGCCGCGUGCAGGAAGACGGCCCUAUGGGUUGUAAACUGCUUUUGUAUGGGAGCAAUAAGAGCUACGUGUAGUUCGAUGAGAGUACCAUACGAAUAAGCAUCGGCUAACUCCGUGCCAGCAGCCGCGGUAAUACGGAGGAUGCGAGCGUUAUCCGGAUUUAUUGGGUUUAAAGGGUGCGUAGGCGGCACAUUAAGUCAGUGGUGAAAUAUUUCGGCUUAACCGAGAGACUGCCAUUGAUACUGAUGAGCCAGAAUAUGGAUGCUGUGGGUGGAAUGUGUGGUGUAGCGGUGAAAUGCUUAGAUAUCACACAGAAUAUCAAUUGCGAAGGCAGCUCACAAAGCCAUAAUUGACGCUGAGGCACGAAAGUGUGGGGAUCAAACAGGAUUAGAUACCCUGGUAGUCCACACUGUAAACGAUGAUAACUCGCUGUCGGCGAUAGACAGUCGGUGGCCAAGCGAAAGCGAUAAGUUAUCCACCUGGGGAGUACGACCGCAAGGUUGAAACUCAAAGGAAUUGACGGGGGCCCGCACAAGCGGAGGAACAUGUGGUUUAAUUCGAUGAUACGCGAGGAACCUUACCCGGGCUCGAACGGUGCAUGAAUAUGCAAGAGAUUGUAUAGCCAGCAAUGGCAUGUAUCGAGGUGCUGCAUGGUUGUCGUCAGCUCGUGCCGUGAGGUGUCGGCUUAAGUGCCAUAACGAGCGCAACCCUUGUCGUUAGUUGCCAGCGAGUCAUGUCGGGAACUCUAACGAGACUGCCGGUGCAAACCGAGAGGAAGGUGGGGAUGACGUCAAAUCAUCACGGCCCUUACGUCCUGGGCUACACACGUGCUACAAUGGCCGGUACAGAGAGCAGCCACUGGGUGACCAGGAGCGAAUCUAUAAAACCGGUCACAGUUCGGAUCGGAGUCUGCAACUCGACUCCGUGAAGCUGGAAUCGCUAGUAAUCGGAUAUCAGCCAUGAUCCGGUGAAUACGUUCCCGGGCCUUGUACACACCGCCCGUCAAGCCAUGGAAGCUGGGGGUACCUGAAGUCGGUGACCGCAAGGAGCUGCCUAGGGUAAAACUGGUAACUGGGGCUAAGUCGUAACAAGGUAGCCGUAG
rnacentral:rRNA from 1 species